AUACGGAGGGUCCAAGCGUUAUCCGGAAUCAUUGGGUUUAAAGGGUGCGCAGGCGGUUUAUUAAGUCAGUGGUGAAAUCUCGGGGCUCAACCUCGAAACUGCCAUUGAUACUGAUAAACUUGAGUUCAGUUGGAGUAGGCGGAAUGUGUAGUGUAGCGGUGAAAUGCUUAGAUAUUACACAGAACCCCGAUAGCGAAGGCAGCUUACUAAACUGAUACUGACGCUGAGGCACGAAAGCGUGGGGAGCGGACAGGAUUAGAAACCCCAGUAGUCC
rnacentral:rRNA from 1 species